UAUUGAAUUACCGUGGAAUUUAGACUUGGGUAAACCAGCUUCUAAGGUUCCAUGACCUGCUUCCUGAUUGGCCAAAUAGUCUUGACCCUGAUUACCUGGUGACUGUAUAUAAACUUCCUGCUUCCUUUCUGGCCUUGUUUGAGCAAUUCUGUGCUGGUUGUUUCUUGGACCCUGUUUGACUCUGCCUUGCUAUAUGUUCCCCUUGGAUUGGAUCUCCUGGCUAUCACACCUGUGAUAAAUGAAAGGUGUGGAGGCCUUUAAACUGGACCUCAAGACAGUUCUUCUUAAUGCUUAAUCCUUCACCCACUGUUCCUGCAGCAAUGGACCUGGUAUACCACAAACCCAAGGGGAGCUAAAGUGACAUCUUGAUGUAGCCAAGACAACACAAGCAUUAUGCUGACUGCCACCAACAGCAAAGUCCCACUUUUUUUGCUGUGGGACAGAAGGUGGAGCUUUUGGUCAAACACCUCAAGACAGGCUGACUCAUCUGCAAACUAGACCACCAGUAUGUGGGUCCUUACCAAAUCUGCAGACAAAUCAAUCCAUGAACCUUCAAGCUUUGGCUUGCCUGAUCCCUCAAGCUGCAUUCUGUAUUUAUGCUUUCCUCCUGAAAUCAUUGUCUGAUAAUUCCUUCCCUAACAAAACACAACCCUUCCCUCCCCCUCCAGUUCAGAUUCAAGGGCAAGAAAAAGUAUUUUGUCCACAAGAUUAUAGGUUCCCAGAUAUGAUGAGGGAAGCAGUGGUACCUCCAUUGAUUGGGAAGGCUACGGGGCCGAGGAGCAGACCCGGGAACCAGCUCACCUUGUACAUGCCCCUGAAAAAGUCAGUGCCUUCCACAGGGCACACCCAGCUAAACCCAGAGCUCUGGCAUGCCAAGGUCACUGCAAGGGGCGGGUGGGAGGGAGAAAGGUGAUAACAGGACCCUGGAGUAAUGGGGUCCACUUGCCAUUGGGGCACUUCCUUGUGGCUCCAGCUGAGAAUUAGGGCCUUUCAUGUCUGACACCUCCCUUCCAACAACUGUUUGCACUGCAUCCCCCCACCCCUUACUCUCCAGGAUUCGCAGUGCUUCUUCUUUGUGACUCAGCCCUAAAUCCAAGUCACUGUAUAUUCCUCCCCUUCUGGGGUAUCAAAGUGCCACUAGAUCAGCUGUCCGCAUGCCAUUCCAGACAGUCUUCUGCUCCAAGGUCAGGUCUUGUGCCACUUACAUUGAUGUAAAUCAGGCAGUAAUUCCAGUGAAGUCAA